UACCAGUGUCAGGGGAACCAUAUACAGCUGUAUAAGCAAAUGAAAGAAUUAGUCCCUUAAUACGUAUUUAAUAGGCUGUAAAAUAGCCUCGCACAACCCGGUAUUAGAGUUUGUCUACUUUCACUCUCUUCAACUCAAGUACAAUAGGCUAAGACAGUUCUCCAGACAGCCCCUCGAAACAGCUACUACCCACUGCUGCUACAGAACCAGAAUCAAGUUAAUGGCUACAGACAGCGUUUACUCAGAAGGUCAAAGGAAUGCCGAGGCAGAGCACAGUGCUGGAUAUGACUCUCCUCUCCCAGGCAACAUUUGAAGUAUCAGGAAUGAGCUUUUACUGCAGACUGCAUUCCUGAGCCCAGUGGUUUAAUCUGAUCACGGAAGAAGAACAUACAGCUAAAGGAACUUUGGUUAUGGGAACACCACCACCUCCCCGAACUAUUCAGAUCCACAUAAAACCCUUUAGGGUCUAGCCAAAUUUGUCAUUAUUUUGACAGCAGAUGUACGAUCUCAAUACACAAUUUUCAAGUGCCA